GGACCCAGCCGCAUGUGGCCUCCCAAGGGGGCUGCGAGUGUCAGUCCGACCUCCGCACGUGUUCCAGGGCGGCGCGGAGCAGCCCUGCAAGCUAUUUGGCAUAUGAAGGUCCUGACCUGAGAAAACCAUCUUGGUUAACCACAGCGAGGAGAAGGAAAAAUGCAACACCUAGGAGAUUUCAGUAAACAGUAGAAUCAUGCCAACCUAAUCUGUGUUAAAAUGCUUGGAAUGUGGGAGCCGCUGAUGAUGCCUGUUGUCUGUGUGUCUGACUGAAUCCUUUCUUUUCUCAGAGCAGCAAAGCAAAGCCUGGGAACCAGGCCAAAUGCCUGCCACUUACCUUAAAUUGAUCAGCCACUUUGAGAUUAAAACCCCUGAAAGCUGCCACACCGUGAAAACAAGGCCUCCUUCACAUUAAAGGCAAAUUGCGACUUUG